GGGUCGAUGCCCGAGUGGUUAAUGGGGGCGGAUUGUAAAUCCGUUGGCUUUGCCUACACUGGUUCAAAUCCAGUUCGGCCCA
rnacentral:tRNA from 1 species